rnacentral:misc_RNA from 1 species
AGGUCUUGACAUCCUUUGACCACCCUAGAGAUAGGGCUUUCCCCUUCGGGGGACAAAGUGACAGGUGGUGCAUGGUUGUCGUCAGCUCGUGUCGUGAGAUGUUGGGUUAAGUCCCGCAACGAGCGCAACCCUUGAUCUUAGUUGCCAGCAUUUAGUUGGGCACUCUAAGGUGACUGCCGGUGACAAACCGGAGGAAGGUGGGGAUGACGUAGACCUUGGACC